AAAACGACUCUCGGCAACGGAUAUCUAGGCUCUCGCAUCGAUGAAGAACGUAGCGAAAUGCGAUACUUGGUGUGAAUUGCAGAAUCUCGCGAAUCAUCGAGUUUUUGAACGCAAGUUGCGCCCGAAGCCAUUCGGCCGAGGGCACGUCUGCCUGGGUGUCACGC
rnacentral:rRNA from 1 species